GAUGAACGCUGGCGGCGUGCUUAACACAUGCAAGUCGAACGAAGCACUUUAUUUGAUUUCCUUCGGGACUGAUUAUUUUGUGACUGAGUGGCGGACGGGUGAGUAACGCGUGGGUAACCUGCCUUUUACAGGGGGAUAACAGUUGGAAACGGCUGCUAAUACCGCAUAAGCGCACAGCAUCGCAUGAUGCAGUGUGAAAAACUCCGGUGGUAUAAGAUGGACCCGCGUUGGAUUAGCUAGUUGGUGAGGUAACGGCCCACCAAGGCGACGAUCCAUAGCCGACCUGAGAGGGUGACCGGCCACAUUGGGACUGAGACACGGCACAAACUCCUACGGGAGGCAGCAGUGGGGAAUAUUGCACAAUGGGCGAAAGCCUGAUGCAGCGACGCCGCGUGAGCGAAGAAGUAUUUCGGGAUGUAAAGCUCUAUCAGCAGGGAAGAUAAUGACGGUACCUGACUAAGAAGCACCGGCUAAAUACGUG
rnacentral:rRNA from 1 species